ACUAGUUAAAACUUUCAACUUGCAACGCGCCGGUCUGCAACGUUCUGAAACCUGCCAGUUUACACCAAUGAGGCGAGGCGAGACAAGGCGCUGUAUCAACUUCAUAGCACAGCGACUCUUUGCACUUCCAUCCUAACUUCUGACUUUCAGGCUUUUUUUGUAGCUGGAUAUAUAAUUUGUUGCGUCUAAAUAUGAAUGUGGAUAACAUUAGUGAUAGUGAGAUGC